ACGGGGGGGGCAAGCGUUGUUCGGAAUUACUGGGCGUAAAGGGCGUGUAGGUGGCCAACUAAGUACGACGUGAAAUCCCCAGGCUUAACCUGGGAACUGCGUCGGAUACUGGAUGGCUUGAAUUCGGGAGAGGGAUGCAGAAUUCCUGGUGUAGAGGUGAAAUUCGUAGAUAUCAGGAGGAACACCAGUGGCGAAGGCGGCUUUCUGGACGGUAACUGACGCUGAGACGCGAAAGCGUGGGGAGCAAACAGGA
rnacentral:rRNA from 1 species